AUAUUUUUUUCAUCAGUUUACACCAGUUCAUCAACAAAAAUAUUACUUGAAGAACGUUUUCAAGAUUUGAGAACUCUCGAAUGAGUGAGAAUACGUGACAAUUCAGAGGUGAAAAUUUCAGUCCAUCAGCGCAAUGUAAAGCAGCUCUUUAUUCUGCAAUCUCACGUUUGUUACCAAAUCGCAAACGUAAAUCCUGAGUUUUUAAUUCAAUAUUUUUUUUUUACUUCCAGAACAGCGAAGAAUACAUGAAGGAAACUAGAAAAAGAGAUUUCACUAAUGCAAUUUCCAGAAAAAAAAUAGAAAUAUCGGCGUUAAUAAAUCGAAGGAAAUAAUGAGAAAUUUGCGUUUAUAACGCCUUGCAUUACGAUAAAUUAUCACAAGAGUAUGUUUCUCACUCCUUUAUAGCAGUAUAAUUGAAACGUGAAGCUGUGCAAGAUUAUCAAUAUAUAACACUCUAGAAUCCAAAUAGCAUUGAAAUGAAUACAUUAAAACCUCUCGUCAAAUAAUUUCAAUCGGAUAUGCACGACUAGUUGCCAGUAUAUUUCCACUAGUGUUUUAUCGAGAAAAAAACUCAACAGCAUUAUCCACAUCGCUGAAGAGCUAUUACUCAUCAUCGAUUCUCGGAUCUUUGAUUUACUUUAUAAUGUGGGAUAUCGUAAUACAAUAAGUUCGAUGCACUGACCUGUCUCAUUAAAUGUGGAAACACAACACAUAAAAUUAAGGACGCAGCGUCACAUGCUAAUUUUCUGAUCUGGUGACAAUAAACCAUUCAAUAGAAUCAUCAUAAAACAGUGGUUUAAACCUAGCAAAACACUGACCGCAAACAAGUGGGAAAUUGCUUCCAUCACAACAUAGUUAAUAUAUUUUUGCUAAUAGACUAACAAUUUGCUUCUGAAUGGAGUUUCUAUAACGAUGUACUUUGAAGUAAAUUCAAUGAUUCCUUCAACAUUACUUGAAGGUUGGCAAUUAACAUUGCCCCAACGUUGAAAUUUUUUACCUUAACCCCCUCUAAAAUUAUCUGCAUGUAUGACCUUGCAAAAGUUGAACUUGAAAAGAUGAUCCGUUCCCCUUCUCCUCGUUAUGCUAAUCCUUGAAGCGUGAACGGAAUCGCGUCAUGUUUAUACGGUUUAAAUAGAUAAUACUAUAGGCCUGGUAUUCAGACAGGGAUUAUUCAAUUAAAUUCAUUCAACACGUGCUACGGCUGAGCGCGUGGGGAUAACACGUACUCAAAGCCAGAAGAUGGAACACAUCAUAGGAAUGUCGGGACAAUUGGACAAAAAAAAAAAAUUUGUCUUUCCACUUUUCUUUUGUCUGUCCUCUCUCUACGUGCUGUUUCAUGCUGAUUGCGCGAAAGCCACUCGCCGGUUCUAGUAGGUU